CUCUGUUCUAGGACACUGGCUGCCACCCUGUUCUCUGAGCAUCACAGACACACUCCUAUGGCAGGUCCAAAGAUGAAGAAGAAACAGAAAUUGGAGAAUUAAAGAAACUUGCUUAAGGUCAUACAACUAUUUGGAGCUGGAGCUGGAGCUGAGAGGGAUGGAACUCUGUGAAACUCUGUAUUGAAGAUGAAUCAAAACUGAAUAUCUUGAGACUUCAUGCCCCUGGUGGAAGACAGAAUGCUCAGAGUAUAUAAAAU